AUACGUAGGGGGCAAGCGUUAUCCGGAUUUACUGGGUGUAAAGGGAGCGUAGACGGCACUGCAAGUCAGAUGUGAAAGGCUACGGCUUAACCGUAGUUAGCAUUUGAAACUAGAAGGCUUGAGUGCAGUAGAGGAGAGUGGAAUUCCUAGUGUAGCGGUGAAAUGCGUAGAUAUUAGGAGGAACACCAGUGGCGAAGGCGACUCUCUGGACUGCAACUGACGCUGAGGCACGAAAGCGUGGGUAGCGAACAGGAUUAGAUACCCUGGUAGUCCACGCCGUAAACGAUGAGUGCUAGGUGUUGGAGGAGACAUCCUUCAGUGCCGGAGCUAACGCAUUAAGCACUCCGCCUGGGGAGUACGUACGCAAGUAUGAA
rnacentral:rRNA from 1 species